rnacentral:RNase_P_RNA from 1 species
UCAGAGGGUCGGGUAAUCGCCUUCGCAUCUUGUUUCGGCAGGGGACGGGGGAGGAAAGUCCGGGCUCCACGGAAACACGGCGCCGGAUAACGUCCGGCGGAGGUGACUCCAGGGAAAGUGCCACAGAAAGCAAACCGCCUCUUUAUGAGGUAAGGGUGAAAGGGUGCGGUAAGAGCGCACCGCGCUGCCGGUAACGGCAGUGGCAGGGUAAACCCCACCGGGAGCAAGACCAAAUAGAGGCAGCACAUGGCCAGUUUCCGGGCCGCCGCCUGGGUAGGUUGCUUGAGGUGUCCGGUAACGGCCAUCCCAGAUGAAUGAUCACCGCCAUCCUUUGGAUGCGCACAGAACC